AGCGAACGCUGGCGGCAGGCUUAACACAUGCAAGUCGAGCGGGCAUCCUUGUGGUGUCAGCGGCAGACGGGUGAGUAACGCGUGGGAACGCGCCCUUCGGUUCGGAAUAACUCAGGGAAACUUGAGCUAAUACCGGAUACGUGCGAGAGCAGAAAGGUUUAUCUGCCGAAGGAUCGGCCCGCGUCUGAUUAGCUAGUUGGUGAGGUUACGGCUCACCAAGGCGACGAUCAGUAGCUGGUCUGAGAGGAUGAUCAGCCACACUGGGACUGAGACACGGCCCAGACUCCUACGGGAGGCAGCAGUGGGGAAUAUUGGACAAUGGGGGCAACCCUGAUCCAGCCAUGCCGCGUGAGUGAUGACGGCCUUAGGGUUGUAAAGCUCUUUUCUCCGGGACGAUAAUGACGGUACCGGAGGAAUAAGCCCCGGCUAACUUCGU
rnacentral:rRNA from 1 species